UACGGGGGGGGCAAGCGUUGUUCGGAAUUACUGGGCGUAAAGGGCGCGUAGGCGGCCCUCUAAGUCGGACGUGAAAUCCCUCGGCUUAACCGGGGAACUGCGUCUGAUACUGGAGGGCUUGAAUCCGGGAGAGGGAUGUGGAAUUCCAGGUGUAGCGGUGAAAUGCGUAGAUAUCUGGAGGAACACCGGUGGCGAAGGCGGCAUCCUGGACCGGCAUUGACGCUGAGGCGCGAAAGCUAGGGGAGCAAACGGG
rnacentral:rRNA from 1 species